rnacentral:misc_RNA from 1 species
UAUUUGAAAACUUCUACUACAGCGCAACAAAGAGACAAGCACACACACACACACACACAACAAAAAGCGCAUAUUUAUAUAUUUGCAGCCCCUUCCACACCCCGUAGCGUGUACCUCCUCCUCCUCUGCCUCUGUCCCACCUUCCCUCGUCAUCACUGCGCUACAUCAUUUGCCGACGAAGCGCGCGGGAGAGAAGUGAGCGCAUUAUUUCUCCUAUCACCAUCUCCGCUGCAUUCUUCCGGGAGUUUGUUGUGCUUCCGCCAUUGCGCUACGCACCACCGAGCACCGACACGUUUUUAUCACGUGCUGCACAAGAGCCACAUACAGCUCACUCUUGUCUCCGCGACUGCGCGAGGGCCACUUUCUUCUUUCGCCAGCUCUCCUCCCCUUCCUUUUUUUUUCGCCUUUUGCUUUUAUUUUCUUUGUGCCUCCCUCUGUUUGUUUCGUGGUUGCGCAGGUCUCGCCGUCCAUCCGACGGAUCUGUGUGUGCGCGCGCUCGUAUCGCCUCUGUAUUUGUCGCUGUUUCUGCAGCCGCAUCAUUUUGUCGAACCGGGCGCUGCUGGUGGUGGCUGCGCACACGAUCGCGAGAGGAGGGGCUGCAGUUUCUUGGACGUGUCGUCUUCCUUUCGCUGCGUACUGACGCAUUGUUUAUGCUUUUCUUUUUUCGUUGCUGCUGCACUGUUCGGCGUUGCCUCCCGCAUCUUUUCGUGCACUGCCUGUAUCCCGCAUACCUUCACCGCCAUGAGCGUUCUCUCUGUUCUCCAGCGAUGGAAGACGGAGCGGCGCAAGAUGUACUACUGGGUCGGCACCUUUUCCUGUGUGGUGGGUCUGCUCCUCUUCAUCUACAUUAUCCUGUCGAUGGCCUUGAAAAACCAGAGUGUGGUGCCGAACUUCAUCGCCGGCUACUGUGCCAUCUUCGCAAUGCUGCUGUCGCUCUUUCAAAUUCUCGAGCAUCUCACCUGCUUCUCUGACCCGGAGUGCCAGACGAAGAUUGUGCGCAUUCUGUUCAUGGUGCCCGUGUUCGCCCUGAUCUCCUCGAUCAGCCUCCUCGCCCCUGGCGCGGCAGAGUAUCUCAACCUUAUCCGCGACACGUACGAGAGCUACGUCAUCUACGCCUUCUUCCAGCUCAUGAUGGCUCUGAUGGGUGGCAUCGACACGGUGUACCGCACCCUCAUGAUCGAGGACCGCCCGCCGGUGCGGCAGGUCUUUCCUUUCUGCUACCUGGAGCCCAUCAAGGUGACACCGACCUUCGUGCAAAACUGCCGCCUCUGCCUCUUUCAGUUUAUGCUGCUGAAGCCGCUUGUCACGAUUAUUGUUCUCAUCCUCACGGCCAAGAACGCGAUGGGCUCGAGCAUGUUUGACCUUACCAAGGGAAGGUUCUGGACGUACUUGGUAUACAACAUCUCCAUCACAGUGGCUUUCACAGCGUUACUCUACUUUUACAUGGGCUUGAAGGACUUGAUAGAGGGCCGCAAUGUGUUCCUGAAGUUUUUGUGCGUCAAGGCGGUAAUCUUCCUUUCCUUUUGGCAGGGCUUGCUCAUCCAGUUCAUAUCAGCCGCAGGUCUUCUGCCCACCUUCUCGUACUGGAAGGCCGAGGACACGCCGGCAGCGCUGCAGGACUUGCUGAUUUGCGUAGAGAUGAUGUUUGUUGCCUUCGCGCACAAGUACUGCUUCGGCAGCGACGAGUACAUCGUCAACGGCGGCGCCGACGGCUGCGUUAUUGAGGACACCUCGAACCAGGAAGGCGGGCAGACGCGCAACAUUCCGCCCAUCCGCUAUUCCGUCACCGAGAACCUCAAGUACACACUGAAGCACGAGGAUAUAUUGAUGGACGUGAGCGACAUCGUGCACAACCGGUGAGCAAGUGAGGAAGAUGGUGAAAGAAAGAAGCCGCGUGGGGCGGUAGGGCAGUUCUUUACCCGAUCAUGUGUGAUGGGGUGCGUGUGGAUGUGCUUGGGCCACUUUCUGCUCUUUCGCCCUUUCUUUCCUUGGGCGUGUGAAGGGAUUCCUUUCGCAUCCGCGUCUCUUGGUUGCCGCCGCCGCUUCUCGUGUCGUGCGUUGGUUUUGCUCUUCUCCGACUUUUUGCCUUCGCCCCCUUCUUUCUUCGGUGGCUACUGAUAUGUCGGCGUUGAUGUCGUGGAUGGCGCUGCGUCGCAGCGAGCUGCGGCCGUGGGCACGCUUGUGCCAUGCCUAGGAUAGAAGGCAAGCGUGCCCGCGUGGCUCGCACGUACCUCCUUGGGCCGCCUCACUGGCCGCUGGUGUGAUGGGAGCCUGAGCUACCCCCCAGACAGAGUGAGUGAGAGAGAGGGGUGCGCCAGGUGGCGACCAGCACAGCGGGAGCGACCCGUGAGGCGACCUGGGGGGUGGGUGGGCGGGCUUGGGGCUGAGGCAGAGACCGUGCUCGGGUGGCCGCGUCGGCGCAGGGUGCUGUGUGGGGCGCCCGCGUGUCUAGCGCUGCUCGGCACCACGCGAUGGGCCUGUGGCAGGACGGCUGUAGCGUGGAGUGGAGCUCAUGUUGCGUGCCGGAGCAUGGACGCGCUGAAACGAAGAAGCGAGACAUUAGCUUCUUCGUUUCUGGUUUUGUUUCGGAGAGAGCAAAGACGGGAAGCGUCCGUUCUUCCACCCCUUCCCCGUCCACUCCCCGCCUUUGCUCUCUCUCUGUUUCUUUGCUUUUUUUUCGCUGAUCAGCCUUGCUGUGCACGUUUGACUAGGACUCUUGCGUCUCCUUGAUCGUCGUGCUAUGGGCCCCCUUCUAG